rnacentral:lncRNA from 1 species
AGCACAUUCAUCAGUGUUUCUCCAAGAGUGAGUCUUGCAUUUGACAAGAGGUAUCUGAGGUGCAUGAAGAAGUGCCACAGCCUGUUCAGGAUUCCUACAAGAGCUUUUUGAGAGGAUUAUUCCUGCCACACAAAGUGCUGGUGCAAUGGUGAGCUCCUGUGAACAGUUCACCUAAGAACUAGUAUCCUUGGCACAUCUUGGACAAAGACAAAAACUGCCACUGGAACAACAGACCCUGGAAGAGCAGUCCCUCCAGAUGGACCUGUGAUCUUGCCUGUGUCAUUGCUGACGAAAUGUGCAUGGCCCAGCAACUCCUCCCAAGCUUCAUAAUCAGAGACCUCACUGCUGUAUGACCAUGCUUAGUUACCUGCUGGUUUCUCUGUGUAACAGCUCUGGCUGUUCUGGAGCUCACUUGAAAGACCCCCGAAGAGGUACUUUCGUAGAGGGAGACCCGCACCCAGGAAUCAGCGAGACCACGAACUUGGAUGCAAACUGCAAGAGGCUUUAUUGGAGAUACGGGUACCCGGGCGACUUAGCUUCUGAAAUUCUUCUUGUUGACGCACUCAUCUGUUACAUGUAUCACAUUCAAAAAGGGACUAAGAACUUACAAGCCACCCCUUGCAGUUUCUAGCUAAUCCUUCCUGCAAGCCAUGGAGUUCUGACAUGCUAACAUAGUACCUGCACUGUGGAUAUGCCAGCUCACUGAUGCGUUGAGGACAUAAGCAUAAUGAAAGAAUGGUACCAUUAGGUCCCAGAGGCCAAUGACACUUAACCUCUCUGUGGGAUGCUGUUCAGGAUUGAACCCUUCCAGUGUGACCUGGCGCGGGGCUGAGGGCCCUCCGGCUGAGCAGUGAUGUCGCACAAACAGAUUUACUAUUCGGACAAAUACAACGACGAGGAGUUUGAGUACCGGCAUGUCAUGUUGCCCAAGGACAUAGCCAAGCUGGUCUGAAUCUGAAUGGAGAAAUCUCGGCGUUCAGCAGAGUGGGUCCAUUAUUUGAUCCAUGAACCAGAACGCAUAUCUUACUCUUCCGGCGGCCACUACCCAAGAAGCCAAAGAAAUGAAGCUGUUGACCCGCCUUUCAGCCUCAAGCUUUACACAACUGUCCUUCCUUCCUGCACCUUCUGAUAGCAUGAUUAUGUUGCUUUCUUAUUUCUCACUUUGAUAUUUAAAGGAUGUUUGUUCAAAACACUGUUUGAAUGUGUUGGUACCUGCUUUGCUUCUUGAGCUGAGCCACCAAUGCCACAACCUGUCAGAUGAGUGUGACCUCAAAGACCUAGUGUGCUCUUUAUCCAGCAGGCAUAUCCAUACUUGCCAUACAUUAAAGAAAAAUAGGCUUAAAAGAAUACUAAACUAGCCGAGCAGUGGUGGCAGCACACGCCUUUAAUCCCAGCACUUGGCUGGCAUGUGAAAAUCAGAU